rfam:Perkinsus marinus ATCC 50983 gcontig_1104296670296, whole genome shotgun sequence.
GCCUCGGUAGCUCAGUCGGCAGAGCGCGUGCCUUUUAAGCCUGUGGCCGCGGGUUCGAGCCCCGCCCGAGGUG